UACGGGGGGGGGGCAAGCGUUGUUCGGAAUUACUGGGCGUAAAGGGCGCGUAGGCGGCCUACUAAGUCGGACGUGAAAUCCCUCGGCUCAACCGAGGAACUGCGUCCGAUACUGGCAGGCUGGAAUCCGGGAGAGGGAUGUGGAAUUCCAGGUGUAGCGGUGAAAUGCGUAGAUAUCUGGAGGAACACCGGUGGCGAAGGCGGCAUCCUGGACCGGUAUUGACGCUGAGGCGCGAAAGCUAGGGGAGCAAACGGG
rnacentral:rRNA from 1 species